rnacentral:rRNA from 1 species
AUGAAAAAUCAUGUUGACGUACAGCCCGCCGGCGGGGCCUGCAGAAGGCGAUGUCGCUUUCUGGUGGCGGGUGGCCAUGGACGUGUUGCAGGCGUUGGGGUGGCGCGGUGGCGCGAGCUCGGAUGUACUCAGGUUGUCAAAAGGCAAACUAUUCCUGAUAUAGGCAAUGAUGAUGAAGUGCCAAUAUCAGGAAGAAAGCGACAUGUACAACAGAGAUUAGGAAAUAAUGUGGUUGUUUCUGAUUCGUAUAGGAGUCAACAUAGUAAUAAAAGGUUUAUAGUUGAAUUAUCUUCAUACAUAUGGUAG